rnacentral:misc_RNA from 1 species
GGGGUGUUGGGGUUUGGGGGGGUUAGGGAGGGGGGGGAGUUGGUGUUGGGGUGGAAGAGACAAGGUAUUAAGAUAAAUUGAAGAAAGCAAGUGGAAAUGAUCAACAAGGAUCAAAUAUCAACUCUUGGUAUAGACCCUUAAUGAAAUAGUAUCAUAAUUUGGCACCAACUGUUAUUGGAAAUAUUUUGCCUAAUAUAGAGACUUAACAAUCUAAAAUAGGGCAUGCAAAUGUGAAGAUGCUUGAAACUGAUCAACUGCCAGAAGAAAGAAAUUUCAAGCAUUCAUAGAUUCACAGGAAAAGAAUAAGCUUUGCCUAAACUCCAAAUACGUAUCAAUCUCCAGUUAUCCAACUGUUAGAUAUUUUGUUAUAUUAUUGCACAUAAGAGCUGUCAAACCUAAAUGGCUAAAUGAGAUAUGACAUUCCAAAGCACAAAAGACUGUUAACAGUUGAAAACGUGUAAAAAAACAUUUUGCCUUAAGCAAAAAAUAACCCCCAAGGCUCCACCAAAUCCAACCCAACCCGUGUAGGCUUCUGAUCUAAACAUGUCCAAUCCAAUCAUGUUAUGCCAAGGGACUUUGGUACAUGAAAGUUCACAUAUAAGCAAGCAGCAGUGAAUCAAUUUCAGAAAAGCAGGAUCAUUUCAAGAGUAACAAAAAAGAAAAAAAAGUCUUUCUUUUUUUUUAAGGUUUUGACAUGAUUCCGAAAAAUCUCUCUCUCUCUCUCUC